rfam:Triticum aestivum genome assembly, contig: Triticum_aestivum_CS42_TGACv1_scaffold_577494_7BL
AGUAUAUCUCCCUCCGUCCGGAAAUACUUGUGAGAGAAAUUGAUGUAUCUAGACAUAUUUUAAUUCUAAAUAUAUCAGUUAUUAUCCAUUUUUGCGACAAGUAUUUCCAGACGGAGGGAGUAGUUA